GAUGAACGCUGGCGGCGUGCCUAAUACAUGCAAGUCGAGCGAACGGACGAGGAGCUUGCCCCUCUGACGUUAGCGGCGGACGGGUGAGUAACACGUGGAUAACCUACCUAUAAGACUGGGAUAACUUCGGGAAACCGGAGCUAAUACCGGAUAAUAUUUUGAACCGCAUGGUUCAAUAGUGAAAGACGGUCUUGCUGUCACUUAUAGAUGGAUCCGCGCUGCAUUAGCUAGUUGGUAAGGUAACGGCUUACCAAGGCAACGAUGCGUAGCCGACCUGAGAGGGUGAUCGGCCACACUGGAACUGAGACACGGUCCAGACUCCUACGGGAGGCAGCAGUAGGGAAUCUUCCGCAAUGGGCGAAAGCCUGACGGAGCAACGCCGCGUGAGUGAUGAAGGUCUUCGGAUCGUAAAACUCUGUUAUUAGGGAAGAACAUAUGUGUAAGUAACUAUGCACGUCUUGACGGUACCUAAUCAGAAAGCCACGGCUAACUACGUG
rnacentral:rRNA from 1 species